rnacentral:rRNA from 1 species
GAUGAACGCUGGCGGCGUGCCUAAUACAUGCAAGUCGAGCGAACAGACGAGGAGCUUGCUCCUCUGACGUUAGCGGCGGACGGGUGAGUAACACGUGGAUAACCUACCUAUAAGACUGGGAUAACUUCGGGAAACCGGAGCUAAUACCGGAUAAUAUAUUGAACCGCAUGGUUCAAUAGUGAAAGACGGUUUUGCUGUCACUUAUAGAUGGAUCCGCGCCGCAUUAGCUAGUUGGUAAGGUAACGGCUUACCAAGGCAACGAUGCGUAGCCGACCUGAGAGGGUGAUCGGCCACACUGGGACUGAGACACGGUCCAGACUCCUACGGGAGGCAGCAGUAGGGAAUCUUCCGCAAUGGGCGAAAGCCUGACGGAGCAACGCCGCGUGAGUGAUGAAGGUCUUCGGAUCGUAAAACUCUGUUAUUAGGGAAGAACAAAUGUGUAAGUAACUAUGCACGUCUUGACGGUACCUAAUCAGAAAGCCACGGCUAACUACGU